CUUAACAAAUAUGUUUUUCAUACUUAAUGUAUGGAAAGAAACAAAAACGUCCUACAAGGUCGAUAUAGAAUUGCGUUUAGCCAUUUAUCGUUGUAUUCGUUCAUUUCAAAAUCGCUACUGACAAAAGUAUUAAAGAAAAAAUUGGCAGCUUUUUGGCGACGGCCAAUAGUAGAGAUAACGGAAGAAAUAUAGAACUCUAACUGAGCAACGCCUAAAUUUUUGAGCAAUGAAAUAAGUGUCGCCAAAAUAAUAAAAGUCGAUGCCCACUAUCUGGUAGUGAGAGUUUAAUACAGUAGUUUAUAAAUAUAUAUACAUAUUUAAUUGUACCUGUAUUUAAAUAGCAUUGAUUUUAUUUUGUUA